CCUCAGAUCCUAUUUUGGUAUUUGCUUGAUUUGUGAUUUUGGAUUAUUUUGCGGCUGUAAGCACUUUGGAUUAGCGUUUCGGUUAAUUUUCUGUCUCAACAAAUAGCAGACAAUAAGAAUGUUAUUUCUGAUGUGAUUCCAGUGAUGAAUAAGAUCACGGAACACAAACUUAAUGGUUCGAAUUACUGGGAGUGGAGUAAGAUUGUUAGGGUCUAUUUGCGUAGCAUCAAUAAGGAUGAUCACCUUACUAAAGGCCCACCUACUGAUGAUACACGGCAAACUUGGCUAAGAGAGGAUGCUCGGCUAUUUUGUAGCUUCGGAACUCGAUUCACAGUGAAAUAAUUAGUUUAAUUGAUCACUGUAAAUUUGUUAAGGAAUUGAUGGAUUACUUAGAUUUUCUGUAUUCUGGUAAAAGGAAUAUCUCCUGUAUUUAUUAUGUUUGUAAGGUAUUCUAUAGUGCUAAGAAAGAUGAUAAGUCUCUCACAGCUUAUUCUAUGGAUUUUAAACGGGUAUAUGAGGAACUUAAUGUAUUGUUGCCUUUUAGUUCUGAUGUGAAAGUUCAGCAAGCCUAAUUGACUGUUGUGAGUUUUCUUGCAAGCUUCUUUCAAAAUAUGAGACUGCUAAAUCUCAGAUUCUCUCCAGUUCUGAGAUUUUCUCUUUGCAUGAAAUGUUCACACAAGUCCUUCGUACAGAGAGUAUUCAAUCUUCACAGCCUGCCAGUAGUGCUCUUAUUAGCCGUAAUCCAAAUGGAUAACAAGGUAAUAGAAGAGGAAGUAGAGGAGGAAUUACAGGCAACAGAGAUAAGCAGCGUAAUGGGGAGGCUAGUUCUAAUCAGGACUCAAGAGCAGUCAUUUGUUAUUAUUGCCAUGAGCCGAGCCAUACAAAAUAUAAUUGUCCGCAACUUCAGAGGAAAAAUCAGCGAUCACAGAUGACAAAUAUGGCAGCAUAGGAUUCUACAGUAUCUUUCUCUGAGAAAACUGUUUUGGUAUCUGCAGAGAAUUUUGCACAGUUUUUCCAGUAUCAGGCAUCUCUAAACCCUACUAGUUCCCCUGUCACUGCGAUCGCUGAGUCAGGUAAAUCUACUACAUGCCUUGUGUCUUCCUCAUCCAAAUGGGUUAUUGAUUCUGGUGCGACAGAUCACAUGACAGGUAAUUCUAGUCUUCUAUCUGCUCUUCAGUCUGAUCUUACUUCCUCUACUGUUACUUUAGCUGAUGGUUCUACUUCUUAUAUCAUGAGUUUUGGAACUGCGAACUUGACUUCGUCAAUUUCUUUGUCAUCUGUUUUGUGUCUACCAAAAUUCUCUUUUAAUCUACUUUCUGUUAGUAAACUUACUCGUAUCUUAAGUUGUUCUGUUUUCUUUUUUCCUGACCAGUGUUUGUUUCAGGAUCUUACGACGAAUCAGAUUAUUAGUAGAGGACGUGAGUCAGGUGGUCUCUAUAUUCUGGAAAAUCAUGUACUGCAGUCGCUUGUUUGCUCCAGUAUCUUAACACCUCUUGAAGCUCAUUGUAGAUUGGGCCAUCAUUCUUUGUCUACCAUGAAGAAGUUGUGUCCUCAGUUUCAGUGUUUAUCAGUACCAGAAUGUGUGUCGUGUUAGUUUGCAAAACAUCAUUGUUUUCUUCUGUGUUUAGAGUCAAUAAACGGGCUUCAUCCCCUUUUGAGUUAGUUCAUUCUAAUGUUUGGGAUUUUUGUUCUGUUACUUUUAAAACUGAAUUUCGUUAUUUUAUUACUUUUGUUGAUGAUUACUCUCGUUUUACCUGGUUAUAUUUAAUGAACAAUCGUUCUGAGUUGUUUUCUAUCUUUUGUGCUUUUUAUAAUGAAAUCAAAAUUCAAUUUAAUAUUUUUGUGCGCAUAUUAAGAAGUGACAAUGCCAAAGAAUAUUUUUCAGCACAAUUUCAGUCUUAUACGACACAAAAUGGUAUUCUUCAUCAGUCUUCCUGUGUUGGUACCCCAUCCCAAAAUAGUGUGGCCUAAAGAAAAAAUCAGCAUCUUCUUGAGGUUACUAAAUUGGAUCCAAAGUCUCUCAAAUGUGUCUUCCUUGGGUACUCCAGGCUCCAAAAAGGACCUACUCGAUCUCCCAUUGUUCAUGUUUAUUCUAGAAGAUUGGAGAUUUCUAACUCAGAUCCUCCACCAGC